AUGUAAAGGUGGUGAAAAAAAUUAUCUCAUACUGCCCAGAUUGCAGCGACCUGGUUGACAACAGAGGCCGAAAUGUUCUUCAUUUUGCUGUGGAAGGCGAUAGUUGAGAAGGACUCAGAACUUUAAUUGAAAAACCUUUCCUCGCUAACCUAAUUAAUCAGAAAGAUGAAGAUGGGAACACUCCGAUCCAUCUACUCGCUACUCAUGACUUUUAUGCUAGUAAUCUUAUACAACACCACACAGUUGAUAAAAUGAUCGUCAACAAAGAAAAUUUAACCGCUCUACGUGGUGGUAGCAACGAAGAAUG
rnacentral:misc_RNA from 1 species